UGGAUCCAGACUUUGAUCAUGGCUCAGGAUGAACGCUAGCUACAGGCUUAACACAUGCAAGUCGAGGGGAAACGACAUCGAAAGCUUGCUUUUGAUGGGCGUCGACCGGCGCACGGGUGAGUAACGCGUAUCCAACCUGCCCACCACUUGGGGAUAACCUUGCGAAAGUAAGACUAAUACCCAAUGACGUCUCUAGAAGACAUCUGAAGGAGAUUAAAGAUUUAUCGGUGAUGGAUGGGGAUGCGUCUGAUUAGCUUGUUGGCGGGGUAACGGCCCACCAAGGCGACGAUCAGUAGGGGUUCUGAGAGGAAGGUCCCCCACAUUGGAACUGAGACACGGUCCAAACUCCUACGGGAGGCAGCAGUGAGGAAUAUUGGUCAAUGGACGAGAGUCUGAACCAGCCAAGUAGCGUGCAGGAUGACGGCCCUAUGGGUUGUAAACUGCUUUUAUAAGGGAAUAAAGUGAGUCUCGUGAGACUUUUUGCAUGUACCUUAUGAAUAAGGACCGGCUAAUUCCGUGCCAGCAGCCGCGGUAAUACGGAAGGUCCGGGCGUUAUCCGGAUUUAUUGGGUUUAAAGGGAGCGUAGGCCGGAGAUUAAGCGUGUUGUGAAAUGUAGACGCUCAACGUCUGCACUGCAGCGCGAACUGGUUUCCUUGAGUACGCACAAAGUGGGCGGAAUUCGUGGUGUAGCGGUGAAAUGCUUAGAUAUCACGAAGAACUCCGAUUGCGAAGGCAGCUCACUGGAGCGCAACUGACGCUGAAGCUCGAAAGUGCGGGUAUCGAACAGGAUUAGAUACCCUGGUAGUCCGCACGGUAAACGAUGGAUGCCCGCUGUUGGUCUGAGUAGGUCAGCGGCCAAGCGAAAGCAUUAAGCAUCCCACCUGGGGAGUACGCCGGCAACGGUGCAACUCAAAUGAAUUGACGGA
rnacentral:rRNA from 2 species